CAGACACAUAUACACACACAGACAGCAUCAUGUUCAGCAGCAUGUCACAGUCACAGGAGUGCAGAGGCUUCAAACACAGCGAUGAAACAGGUGGACCCUACGCUUUGAUGCUGCUGUCCUUUACAGGCGGAAUGUCCCAGUGGGGUGGUGACUGAGGAUGUGUUUAAAAUCAUUUACUCUCAAUUCUUCCCACAGGGAGGCUGAUUGGGAGAUGCUUGCAGGGAAGGAAACACACGUUGCUGAAGGAGGUUCUGACAAACAUUUGCAUUCACCUGACAUGUAUCUGUAUAAGAGGCUCAACUCCUGCUACAAAAAACUUCCCACAAACCAUGGCACUUCCUCCUCCUGCUGAUGAGAGACUUCAUCACUGCAAGAAUUCAAGAACUUAUGCACAUUACCUAUUUGAGGCAUUUGAUACUAACAGGAAUGGCUGUUUGAGUUUUAAGGUAAGCUGUAGCCAAUAGUUUUUGGGUUACUGACAAGAGGUAGGUGACGAUAAUAUGUGAGAGUUUUUCUUUUUACACUUUCUAUGUCAAUCAUAUCUAACACACUUGAUUCAUAUCAUCAGCUGGAUAGGAGAAGAUCUAUGAGUUGAACUAAGUGUGUCAGAGAAGAGAGACAUAAUUGUGCAGAGCAGUGGGUCUACAACAAAGCUUGUAACCUGCCUUCCAGAGUUUGUUGCUGGUCUGUCACUUAUCCUUAGAGGCUCAAUAUAUGACCGGCUAAAUAUGAUGCAGUAUGGCAGGGGUGUACCAAAAAACCUGCUCCUGGAGGGCCAGCAUCCUGCAGAGUUGAACUCCAACCAGCUCCAACACAAUUUCCUGGAAGUUUCUA
ensembl:lncRNA